rnacentral:snRNA from 1 species
GGAUGUGAGGGCGAUCUGGCUGCACCAUCUGUCACCCUAUUGAUCACCAGGGUUGAUUCGGCUGACCUUGCUGGCUAGGCAGGUGUCCCCUUCCUCCUUCAACGUUCCACACAUGUCCCUCCCAAAGCUGCACCUCGGUCGAAGAGGAUGUCACCACCCACCCCCGCCCCUUAGAGGAGGAUCGGUCUUCGGUCAAGGGUAUACGAGUAGUUGUGCUCCCCUGCUAGAACCUCCAAACAAGCUCUCAAAGAAAAAAAAUGACAUGAAGCUGGGGGGGCGGGGAGUAGGGGGUGGAUUU